rnacentral:rRNA from 1 species
CCUACGGGAGGCAGCAGUGAGGAAUAUUGCGCAAUGGGGGAAACCCUGACGCAGCAACGCCGCGUGGGCGAUGAAGGCCUUCGGGUUGUAAAGCUCUGUCAGAGGGGAAGAAAUGCAGGUGGUGAACAACCAUUCUGUUUGACGGUACCCUCAAAGGAAGCACCGGCUAACUCCGUGCCAGCAGCCGCGGUAAUACGGAGGGUGCGAGCGUUGUUCGGAAUUAUUGGGCGUAAAGCGCGUGUAGGCGGUUUGUUAAGUCUGAGGUAAAAGCCCCGGGCUCAACCGGGGAAGUGCAUUGGAUACUGGCAGACUUGAGUACGGGAGAGGAGAGUGGAAUUCCCAGUGUAGGAGUGAAAUCCGUAGAUAUUGGGAGGAACACCGGUGGCGAAGGCGGCUCUCUGGACCGAUACUGACGCUGAGACGCGAAAGCGUGGGGAGCAAACAGGAUUAGAUCCCCCUGUAGU